GACGAACGCUGGCGGCGUGCUUAACACAUGCAAGUCGAGCGGUAAGGCCCUUUCGGGGGUACACGAGCGGCGAACGGGUGAGUAACACGUGGGUGACCUGCCCUUAGCUCUGGGAUAAGCCUGGGAAACUGGGUCUAAUACCGGAUAUGACUCCAUGACGCAUGUUGUGGGGUGGAAAGCCUUGUGCGGCUAGGGAUGGGCCCGCGGCCUAUCAGCUUGUUGGUGGGGUGAUGGCCUACCAAGGCGACGACGGGUAGCCGGCCUGAGAGGGCGACCGGCCACACUGGGACUGAGACACGGCCCAGACUCCUACGGGAGGCAGCAGUGGGGAAGUCUUGCGCAAUGGGCGAAAGCCUGACGCAGCGACGCCGCGUGAGGGAUGACGGCCUGG
rnacentral:rRNA from 1 species